rnacentral:tRNA from 1 species
GCUCCGGAGGCUCAAUCGGAUAGAGCGUUGGACUUCUAAUCCAAAGGUUGCGGGUUCAAGUCCCAUCCGGAGUA